UUUCAUAUUCAUUGCACAAAUCAAGAAUAUUUCUAGCUAGAACCUAGCCAAGUGUAUAAAAAGCACUCAUAAACGUUAGGGCAACCAUUGCACUUGCAACUCUUGCAAUAUGAAUUUCCAACUGCUCAUCGGCUUCAUGCUGGCCUUACUCGCUGUGGCUUUUGCCAAUCCCAAUCCUUUGCCAAAUCCUGAGCCUUAUCCAGGAGGAGGUGGCGGUGGCGGCGGCGGCGGCGGCGGAGGUGGUGGUGGUGGCGGUGGUGGCAAGUGAGCAGCACAGCUCGCCACAAACUGUUAAGGAUCUAAGCAAACUGUAAACUUGUAUACGAUAAAUAAAAGUGAAUUAAACGGUGAAACGUGAGUUCACUAGAGUGAGAA